rnacentral:rRNA from 1 species
AAGCCAGACUCCUACGGGAGGCAGCAGUGGGGGAUAUUGCACAAUGGGGGGAACCCUGAUGCAGCGACGCCGCGUGGGUGAAGGAGCGUUUCGGCGCGUAAAGCCCUAUCGGCAGGGAAGAAGGAGGACGGUACCUGACUAAGAAGCCCCGGCUAACUACGUGCCAGCAGCCGCGGUAAUACGUAGGGGCAAGCGUUAUCCGGAUUUACUGGGUGUAAAGGGGGCGCAGACGGCAGCGCAAGCCAGGAGUGAAAGCCCGGGGCCCAACCCCGGGACUGCUCUUGGAACUGCGCGGCUGGAGUGCAGGAGGGGCAGGCGGAAUUCCUGGUGUAGCGGUGAAAUGCGUAGAUAUCAGGAGGAACACCGGUGGCGAAGGCGGCCUGCUGGACUGCGACUGACGUUGAGGCCCGAAAGCGUGGGGAGCAAACAGGAUUAGAUACCCCGGUAUU